GUCCGGUUGAUCUAGUCGGUUAUGAUGCAGACCUAAUACAAGCAAUCGGUUAUUUAGUCUGAUGUCGGCGGUUCGAUCCCGCCACUGGACA